CGUGCGGCUGGCGCAGGAAGGGCGCGAGCGCGCCUACCGCGAGCUCGUGCGGCGCUACGAGCGGCCGGUGUUCUCGCUCAUCUACCGCAUGG
rnacentral:tRNA from 1 species